UGAACGUGGGAGCCCCACGCCUGAGGACUCCUCCUGCGGGCGUAUCGUUCCCGACAGAUUCUCCCACAGAAGGCGAUCGCAUGUGCUGGCUACCUCCCCUCCGUCCACCUGUCUCCUCUCUGUCCGGGUGAGCCCUUCUGACCGGACCAGAUGGGCUUCUGCCUAGGCUCAGCCAACGGGAAGCAUCACUGGUGGAAGGUGAUUGGAAGGUCCCACAUAUGAGUGCCAUCACCUGUCUUGCUCUGCCUGACUUAUUUCACGGGGCAUAACGCCCUCCAGGUGCAUUCACGUUGCCUGAUUUGGAAUCUUAACGCCACGUGCAGUGUCCCCUUCACAGCAGCACCUAUGUGACCAGGGCGGCACCAUCCGUGGUCAGUCAAGUGGAUCCACGUGCUCCCCCUCCGCCCACACCGCCCCCUCUGAGAGGACGUGCUGAGAAAAGCACUUCGGCCGGCUGGCUUCGGGUUUCUCCCCAGGACGCCCCAAAGCGGUCAAAGUCCUCAAAACCCAAGGCAAGUUUGGGAAAUUAUCACAGACCAGCGGAGACUUGAGAAGGCAUGACAGAGGCCGGGCGGUACCCCGGGGUGGGGUCCUGGAACAGAAAAGGGGCAUCAAGGGAAAAUGAGCUAAAUCUCAGUAACGCCUCACGUUUGGUUGACAGCAGUCUAGUGGCUUUGGUUCCUGGGUUUUGAGACGU